rfam:Brassica napus, WGS project CCCW01000000 data, contig: 25918
GUCAAGAUGGCCGAGUUGGUCAAAGUAGCAAGCUGAACAGGUGCUGGUCCGAAAGGUCGUGGGUUCAAAGCCCAUUCUUGACA